GUAAUUUCGAGAUCUUUAAGAGAUUUACUAACUAAUUUCAGCUGUAAAUAAAGAAGCAUUAGUGUACAGCUUAUAAUUCUUUAACAUUGACAUGGCGUUUUCGCACAAAAUGUUCUUUGGACGCCAGUGACAGCUCUGCCAGUUCAAUAUUUCAAUUUUUGCAGCGCGUCUCGCCCAAUUUUCCGCAAUUAAAUUCCACCAGCAAAGCUAUCAACAAAUAUGCUGUCAGGCCACAAACCUUCUAUAUUGUACUUUUAGAAAAGUAAUAUUUGUUAAAGUGAGCGUGUGAGUGCUGGGAUUCGAAUCUACGGAAGUCCUUUUCGUUUGUGCUGUGCUGUUGUUGUUUUGUUGCUUUGGCUACUGCUGUCGCCCUGUAUACGCCCUUGCGUAUAACAAUGGACAUGGAAUACGCCAACAUCAAUGAAUUUAAUGACCGCGACCUAGCGACACGCAUGCGCAACAGCAAUUAUGAAAAAUACAAGUCUCUGGUGCGCAUGCACCUCUCCUUCGAGCUGGAACUAAACACCGACGAGUUCGACAUGCCGUGCCAUGAAAUCGUCUACGAAGAUAAGGGCAAGAUAAAGAAGUGGAAUCGCCUCUCCAAGAAUAAUCGCGGACCUGCCACAGGCUGCACGGCUGGGGCAGGCAGUAAGUCGGCGGGCAACAGUCCCACUGAAACGCUGCAGCAACAAAUUGAUGCAGGCUUUCUGAUGCACCUGGAGGAGCUCAAAGAGUUUCUUAUGCUGGAGAAGAAUCUCACCCAGGAGGGACUAUUUCGCAAGACAGGAGCCGUUUCCAGGCAGAACGAGCUACGAAUGCACAUACAGCACGACCAGCCCUUGGAUUUGGAACUGACAGGAUUCUCGGCUCACGACUGUGCCACUGUUUUUAAGAGCUUUCUGGCCGAUCUGCCAGAGCCUUUGCUUACAGACGCCCACUAUCCAGCACAUCUUCAGAUAGCGCCGCUUAGCCAGGCAUUAAUGGGGGGUCAGGUGGCGGCUACCGCAGAGCGCCAACAACAUCUUCUCAACUCGGUGCAGCUGCUCCUUCUCCUGCUCCCCGAAGAGCAUCGCGAGUUACUGCAGCACAUUAUUAAAAUGCUCCAUUCGGUGGCAGCGCGUGAGGAGAGCAACAUGAUGUCCGCGGAGAAUUUGGCCAUCUUGUUUACACCGCACCUGAUUUGCCCCAGGCAAAUGCCGCCUGAGGCGCUCCACUAUACGGCGAAGAAGAUGUCCAGCAUUGUGUCCUACAUGAUUCAGCAGGGUCUGGAAAUCUUCGAAGUUCCCGGAAAGCUAGCCACCGAUAUUCGGGCGUACUUUCUUGAGCGCAAACGCAAAAAAACCAUGUCACCGGAGCAAACCCUUGAAGAAUCCAUCUCGGACGACUCGACGGUCAACACGGUGUACACUUUUGUAGAUCGUGCCGCCACGGCAGCGGCAAACAACAGCAAUUACACGGAUACUGCACUGGCGCAGCUGUACGCGCACAUUCAGAGCCUUCCGGAGUCCUCCAAGAAGCGUCGCCUCAUCAAGCAGUUUAACAAGCAAAACGGACAAGGCACACCGCUGCAGGUCAUCGCGAGGAGCUCCAGCGUGCCAUAAGGGAGCAUCACGAGAAGCAUGAUGCCAAAAUGAUGCGCGCCAUGGAGGAGGCAGAGCCUAUGCCAUAAAUGCGGCUAAACUGAAACUGUAAACACUUUUGUAUGCGACGUAAUAAAGACUUGAAUGUACCCAAAGCACUAA